rnacentral:misc_RNA from 1 species
GAUGAAGAACGUAGCGAAAUGCGAUAAGUAAUGUGAAUUGCAGAAUUCAGUGAAUCAUCGAAUCUUUGAACGCACCUUGCGCUCCUUGGUAUUCCGAGGAGCAUGCCUGUUUGAGUGUCAUGAAAUUCUCAAACCCAUAAGUCUUUGCGGGCUUACGGGCUUUGGACUUGGAGGCUUGUCGGCGACCGUGAGGUCACAUCGACUCCUCUCAAAUGCGUUAGCUUGAUUCCUUGCGGAUCGGCUCUCGGUGUGAUAAUUGUCUACGCCGUGACCGUGAAGCGUUUUGGCAAGCUUCUAACCGUCUCUAACGAGACAGCUUACUUUGACCUCUGACCUCAAAUCAGGUAGGACUACCCGCUGAACUUAAGCAUAUCAAUAAGCGGAGGA